GUAGCAUAAGUUAGGAACAUGAUUCUUCUGUUUGGUAAACUUAUAGAAGCCUUAGUAUCCCAGCAAUGGGAGGCCACGCGACUAAAAAUAAUGUGGCCGUUUACUAGUUGACCCUAGGUCAGCAACACAGCCAGACUGUUUGGGAAUUCUCGUAUGUAAUCUUUUACAGCAUGAGCAAUCCACAGCGAAUACCUCGUAAGCAUUUAAAAUGCCUAUAGGGAACGUUCACAGACUAAGUGGUUGUGGGUAG
rnacentral:misc_RNA from 1 species